rnacentral:rRNA from 1 species
AAUCAACGCUGGCGGCGUGCCUAACACAUGCAAGUCGAACGCGAAAGGGACUUCGGUCCUGAGUAGAGUGGCGAACGGGUGAGUAACACGUGGGUGACCCUACCUUCGAAUGGGGAUAACGUCCCGAAGGGACGCUAAUACCGCAUAACAUCCUGCCUUUGAACAGGUGGUGAUCAAAGCCGGGGAUCGCAAGACCUGGCGUUUGAAGAGGGGCCCGCGUCCGAUUAGCUAGUUGGUGAGGUAACGGCUCACCAAGGCGACGAUCGGUAACCGGCCUGAGAGGGCGGACGGUCACACUGGGACUGAGACACGGCCCAGACUCCUACGGGAGGCAGCAGUGGGGAAUUGUUCACAAUGGGCGCAAGCCUGAUGACGCAACGCCGCGUGGAGGAUGAAGGUCUUCGGAUUGUAAACUCCUGUUGCCCGGGACGAAAAGCUUCGACCUACACGU